rnacentral:rRNA from 1 species
GAUGAACGCUGACAGAAUGCUUAACACAUGCAAGUCAACUUGAAUUUGGGUUUUUAACUUAGAUUUGGGUGGCGGACGGGUGAGUAACGCGUAAAGAACUUGCCUCACAGCUAGGGACAACAUUUAGAAAUGAAUGCUAAUACCUGAUAUUAUGAUUUUAAGGCAUCUUAGAAUUAUGAAAGCUAUAAGCACUGUGAGAGAGCUUUGCGUCCCAUUAGCUAGUUGGAGAGGUAACAGCUCACCAAGGCGAUGAUGGGUAGCCGGCCUGAGAGGGUGAUCGGCCACAAGGGGACUGAGACACGGCCCUUACUCCUACGGGAGGCAGCAGUGGGGAAUAUUGGACAAUGGACCAAGAGUCUGAUCCAGCAAUUCUGUGUGCACGAUGAAGUUUUUCGGAAUGUAAAGUGCUUUCAGUUGGGAAGAAAAAAAUGACGGUACCAACAGAAGAAGUGACGGCUAAAUACGUGCCAGCAGCCGCGGUAAUACGUAUGUCACAAGCGUUAUCCGGAUUUAUUGGGCGUAAAGCGCGUCUAGGUGGUUAUAUAAGUCUGAUGUGAAAAUGCAGGGCUCAACUCUGUAUUGCGUUGGAAACUGUGUAACUAGAGUACUGGAGAGGUAAGCGGAACUACAAGUGUAGAGGUGAAAUUCGUAGAUAUUUGUAGGAAUGCCGAUGGGGAAGCCAGCUUACUGGACAGAUACUGACGCUGAAGCGCGAAAGCGUGGGUAGCAAACAGG